AUCAUAGAAUUGAAGGUCGAGGCG
rnacentral:siRNA from 1 species